UAGGAAAUCCUAGUACCUCUGCCUAGUCUGGCAUGCGUCUCUAGUAAUGGAGGGGUAUGAAGCCCAGAUGACAAAGCCCUUAGCGUGAAAUGGAGAUAGCUCUAGGGGCUGGCAAACUUCUAUGGCUAAUGAAAGU
rfam:Monoraphidium neglectum strain SAG 48.87 mitochondrion, whole genome shotgun sequence.